GAACUAUGGAGGAAUUUUUGGAGUAACUUGCAAAGGAAUUCCUGGAAAGAUUUGCUGAGGAAUUCCAGGAGGAACUGGCGGACUGAUGAAUCGGGAAAUCGGGUUGGCGCCAACGAAAGUUGGUUAUGUUAUGAAGGAAUUUUGGGAGGGAUUCCUGGUGAAACUUGAGGAGGAAUUCCUGGUGAAACUUCGGAAGGAUUUUCGGGGGAAUACUUGGAAGAACUUCCGGAGGAAGCCUGAAUGAACCUUUGGAUAAAUUCCUGGAGAAUGCUUCCAGAAGAAUUCAUAAGGAACUUAAGUAGGGAUUCCUGAGGGAUUUUCGGAGGCUGGAGGAACUCCUGGGGAUAUUUUUGGAAGAACUUCCGAAAGCAUUCCUGGAGGAACAUCCAGAGAAAUAUCUGAAGGAACUUCCGAAAGAAUUCCUAGAUGAACUUUACUAGAGGCCGACCCAACUAACAAUUUUGGUGCUAAAAGCUUCAACUUCUAGCCUUUGACUGUAUAAUAUUUGAAUAAAAGCAGCAAAUGCUGAAUAAAAGAAAAGCCUCCGCAAAUAAUCCCUUAAACUUCAACUCGACUAUUACACAAAUAUCUAUCAGCUAGUCAGUUUGUGCCGAAUAUAUUUCAUCUUUUAUCGUUUAUGCAGCUUUCAUAUAGUCAUAAAAUAGCUCUGUCUGAAUUAGCAACAAAGCUUAUCGGUUAAGAGUCCAUAUAUGUAACUGAGUUGCUUGUUAGCAACUUCCCUUAUUACGGUGAGUAGCAUUCACAAUGAAAACGUGUUCGCUGUUGUUAUAGCACUAACAAUAUAGCGUAAUGGCGCUAUAAAUGAACUAACGAAGCAUUUAGGCAACUUCUGUAUCUUUGAAGAUUACACAACGUUUAAGUAAACCUUAUACUGCUUCUUUUAAUAGCUUAUCAGUAUGGAACGUCAAAACCGCAAUGGUUACAUUUGAGUUUUGUUGCCGGAGCUGUGUAUGAGCUAUUGAUUUCUGUAAUGCAGCUACAAAGGUAUUCACCUGCUCUUAUAGCAACUGACAAAGCGCUGUCAUUAAUGCUAGCGAUAGUGUAAGAAAACAAGCCAUUUAGAAGCGAUAUUUCUUUUGAUGGCUACUGUUAAACGAUUAGCAGCAGAGUAGCAUCUAUACAGAUCGAGAAAAUGUUGCCUAAAAACAAUUUCAGCGAUUGAUGAUGCAUAAAAGUUAGCCAACAGAACAUGCUGAUAUCGAUAGCAACGGACAUUCGGAAACGGAAGUGCGGCUGGGUCAGCCACAAAUUACUUAGGGGCGAAAAUGCAAUCUGCAAACAAGCAUUGGAAUGGAACCCUGUUGGACUACGUAGCAGAGCAGACCCAGUGGCUCAUGGCGACGUAGCCUCCAUAAAGAAAUUAAAGAAGUCGGCUGAAAUCUAACUUGGCAACAUGUUAAGGCGAUAGCUGAACAUCGCCCAAGACCCUUUGCUUUACUCCUGGUGUACAGGACUCAUAAAAAAACUGGACUGGGUCUCUCGUGAGCUUCCAUAAACGCACCGCUGACAUCACCUCUGACCGUCACCUUCCAAUUGGUGAGAUCCGACUGUGCAUUGCUAUAGAAUUAAACGGCAGGAGAGGCUUGAAUGGCGAUUCAACAUACGUCGACUGGAAAAUCAUUCUGUAAAGAGAACGCUCUUUAAAGUGCAACUCGGGCCAGAGCAAACAAAUACGAAUCCCAUUAACGACACAGAUCACAUUUAUGAUAUGGUAGCCUCACAACUGGAUUCAAGAUCAUAAAUGGAGGUAACAUUAUUCGUGAUACUAGCAAGACAAAUCUGGAAAGAAUACCAGCUUCAGGAAUAAUUUUACAGCAAUGGUCAUGUUGAUUGCCAGUGCAGAUCAAAGUACUACUGAAAUGAUUCGUUGUUGCCAAGUAGGAUGAACACGGAGAAGAAACGCCUAUCCUCCAGGAUUACAUAAUCCAAACAGCCGAAAACGAUUAAAUGCCCAAGUCAAAUCAGGUACGAGACACUGAAGACAACCUUAAAGUUGGGGUAGAAACACAUAUCUGUAAAGAUUACAACGUGGUGAAAUUAAAGACGACCUUAAAGUUGAGGUCGAAAUACAUAUCUGUAAAGAUCACAACGUGGUGAAAUGAAAUGGAAUAGAACUAAACUCAUCUCCUGAUAUUUUUUUAAUUUUUGCUAUAUAAUUUGAUUAGAAGCCUACGAAAUUGAAUCGUUAAGAAAAACACAUUUCAUUUUAAGAAAAUUAUUUAAAGCUUUUUUUCACUUGUCGAGUCCAGUACAAGACACUGAACAGGGGCCUUACUAUUGAAGUAGGAAUACAAAUCUGUGAAUUUAUAAUCUAGUGGUGGAAUGGAAUGAGAGAGUAAAUUCAUCUUAGGACAAGCACAUUUCAUUAAAUAAAGUAUUCGAGUAUUAACAAAUAAUUUUGGCAAAGAGCAUAACAAAAAAAAUGAUUUGAAAAAAUGAAAAACAAAGUAGAACUGAAAAUAACU